GUGUGUUUAGUGUGUUCAGUGUGUGUGUAGUGUGUGUGUAGUGUGUUCAGUGUGUGUCUAGUGUGUGUGUAGUGUGUUCAGUGUGUGUGUAGUGUGUGUGUAGUGUGUUCAGUGUGUGUGUUGUGUGUGUGUAGUGUGUUCAGUGUGUGUGUAGUGUGUGUGUAGUGUGUUCAGUGUGUGUGUG